GAGCUGGAAAGCUAUCUCUCGGCAGACCUGAUGGUGUCUGUCUCCAGAUUGCUCCUCCUCUGGCAUUCCCCAUCCCAGAACCACAAUCCAGGGGAGCCCCAACUUCUCCCCACUCACCCAGGAUGAGUCCGACAAAGUCCCAAGGACUCUGCCUCCAAAAUUGAUCUUGAAUCAGCUCAUCCUCUCUUCUGCUUAGCCCAGAAAGACUUACCUUAUCUCUCACCUCGAGUCUUCAUCUUUCUGACCGUUGGCUUAAACCUUUGUCACCGGACCCCAACGUCGGUUGAGUCAGUCUCCAACAAGGGUUUUCCUGCCUGGUGUUCUUUAAGCCAAUUAACGGGACCAAAUUUGGUUCAGGAGCCAAGGAAAGCUUUCUUUUUUGGACAGAAACAGCUCCCAGCGGGCUCUAAAGCAUACCCAGCCAUGCACCUGAGGCUCCCGGCUCCCCGUGGUCCCCACGUGCUCCUGGACAGGCUGUGGGAGGGGCUACUGUGUAGGGAUCUCCUGGCGGAGGGGGCGGAGUUCCCUGCGGCUGGAGACCGGUGCUCUGCUGAGGCUCCAGGCAGCGUCUCCGCACACAGCGGCCACCACCAUCCUAGACUGAGUGUGGUGAGCAGUGCUUCUCCAAACGGCCUGGAGCUGAGACGUCAGUACUAGGGGCUCUGGCCCCCGGUGCUUGGGGCAAAGCGUCUACAGGCAGCCCUCUGUGAGCAAGUGAAAGGGACUGAACACAAAGGACUAAAGAAAGGAAGAAUUGGGGAAUACAUUUAGCUGCUUAUCACCUGCUGAGGGAACUUCUAAGAACCAAUGUCCGAUUUCACUCUGCAGUCCUGAUGCCAUUGGUCUGGAGCAUGGCCUGGACAGCAGGAAUUUUAAAAGCCGCUCAGGACAUUCUGAAGUUUAAAGAAGGUGUAAAACUGGGGAAAGUAGAGCUCCAGGUAUCCGUGUGGAUUUGAGCAACAAUCUUCCUUACCAAAUUGCCGGCUUGGAUAAUCAUGUCUCAAGCUUCAAAGAUGGAGCAUAAUGUGGUGGUUGAAGAACUAAUCUUCCUUAUUUUGGAUUCUAGAUCUGCUGUUUACAAACCGUGUGACCCUGGCCAUGAUACUUAAUAUCACUGAGUCUCAGUUCUCUUGUCUCUUAAGUGGGUAUAAGUGUGGCAACUAUGAUUAUGAUGCUAUUAUGAUGUUUAAGGGAGAUGAUCCAUGUAAAUAAUUUAAGCUUAGGUUUUCUCAUAUAGCCUUUUCUCCCAGUAAAGACUGAUUAAAAUGAAAUUUAAACUUCAUAUGGUUCUAAGUGACCUCUCUUGAUUUAUUCUGUUGGUGUAGAUGGGAACUGGCUUGUUCAGAAACCUCCCUGGAUGAUUCUAACGUUCAGCUGGGGUCGAGGAGCAAUCUUGGUGUCUGAUUCUGCUUUCCCUGUUCUCGUAGGAGCUUCCCAGGUACCUCUCUCAGUGGUCUAGUCCUCAGGCUUGUUUCAGGGCCACUUCUAAACAGCUUUGAAUCCACAUAGUUUUCCUUUUGCUUUUAUAAUUCUUGUGUUUUUUUAAUCAGAGUAAAUGUGGAUUAUUACUUCUAUUUCAUUGUUUUUAUUUUUCUAAUGGCCAUUUUCCCCGAUUUUAAGAACCCAUGUUUAUUUUAUUCCCCACACAGAGACAAAAUAAUGAAAAUAUUAUAUUUUUGUCCAAAUUUCUAUGUAUCAUGUGUCUAUAAAUGGAAGUUUUAAAAUUGCAAAGGUAGUUUUGAAAGUUGCUUCUUUUGCUUCACCUUAUAUCAUAAGCACAGUCUCAAAUGCUACGGAUUUUUGGAAGUAUAAUAAUUUAUUCUGUUUGUCAUUCUGAUGUAUCCCACUGUAUUUUACCAUUCCCUUACUAUCAGCAGUAUUGGUUUCCUUGGGCUGCCUGAACCAAAUACCACAGACUGGGGUGGCUUAAAACAACAGAUAUCUAUCCCCUCAGAGUUCUAGAGGUUAGAAGUCUGCAGAAGGUGUAGGCAUGCUUGAUUCCUCUGGAAACUCAGAAGAAGAAUCUGUCCCCUGCUGCUCUCCCCACUUCUGGAAGUUGCCCCAGCCUCUGGUGCCCCUGGGCUUGUAGACACAUCACUCUAUUGUGUCUCCCUCUUCACGUGCUUUUGUGUCCCUCUGUGUCUCUGAGUCCAAGUUUCCCUCUUCUUAUAAGCUCCUCUCUGACCCAGCAUGACUUCUUCUUAACUUGGGUUAUAUCUGCAAAGACCUUAUUAUAAAAUAAGAUCACUGUUACAGGUACUGAGAGUUAAGAAUUGUAUUGUUUUGAGGGACGUGAUUCAACCAGGUAUAUCAGCCAUUUAUGACUUCCAUCUGCCUUUUUAAGGGACCAGUAAAGGUUUACCCAACAAUACUGGUCUUCUCAAUACUUCUACAUUUCAGCUCUUUAUAGUUUCCCGCCCUGCUGUGAGUUCACACAGGUGCUGAGGAAGCCAGGCCAAGGGUAGAAAUGGGGCCGAGUGUUCACUUCUGUCCUCCCUAGAUGCCCACCUUCCCUGGAGCAAGCUGGGUGCCUGUCUGGGAAGUCCAGGAGGGGCGGGCUGAGGCAGGGAGGGAGCCACAGGUGGUGGGAGCAUGGCUUCCUGCAGCUGCCUGGCCACCUGGCUGGACAGCUGUUCUCCCGACCAGGGAGCUGUGGAUGGCAGGGCUGCCUGGCUUAUCACGGCCUCGGAGAGUUACAUGAUGCCAAAAUGCCUGGUCGAAUCUGUCAGUUCUUGUGAGCAGCCGUUUUAGGGGGUGGAGGAGUGGCACCGGGGGCAUGGAAUCUCCAAACUGAUUGUUUAUAGUGCCUGCUCAGUUUAGACAAGUAUUGACCCGAGGACACCCGCAGUCACUGGUUCAGCUGGGAUUGUCUGUUCCAGGGGUCAGCUUACUACACCCUGCAGGUCAGGCCUGGCACACUGCCUGCUGUGUACAGGGAGCUAAGAAUUGCCUUUACAAGUGAACAUCUGCAAUUGAUUUGAUGAUGGGAGCCCUGACUUUGAAUCCCAAGUAAACAAAAACGUUCGUUAUCCUCCACCCUCAAUGAAUUUCAUUCUUCUCACGAUUAGAUCUUUAUUAUAAAAAAUUCAUACUCAAUGAUCAUAUUUUGAAUUUCAUCAAUAAAAAAUUCCUGGAAAACUUUUUUUCUAUCUUAUUAUGAAAGUAUGUGUUAUAUUUCCAGUACUACCUCUAGGCCUGCAAAGUCUAAAAUCUCCACUAUCUAGCUCUUAACAGAAAAAGUUUGGCAAUCUUUGGUCUGGCCAGAUGUCUCAAACAAUAUCAAACAUCCAAAAAAACCUGCAGGGCUUUUAAAAACACAGACUUCUGGGCCCCACCCCUGGGGUUUCCCACUCACUAGGCCUGGGUUAGGGCUCAGCUGUUCCCAUUUCUAACGAGUUCCUGGAUGCUGCUGCUGCUGGUGGUCUGGGAGCCGACCCUUGAGAACCACCACUCUGUCUGUCCAGCAGCCAAUCAACAAACAUUUUUCUAGGAGGCAACAUCCUUAGGACUCGCAAGAAGAGAAACUAGAACCCGAGCUGGGUCGUUGUCCGAUUCUGCCACUGACUCUGUGAUCUUGGCAUUCCUGUCGUUUGGUAAAAACUGCUGCCUGGCAGAGAAACCUUGGGAAGCUUUACUCUGUCUUCUAAGAAACAGGAAGUCAUUAUUUGCCCAAAGCAAACAAACUCGAAAACUGCAGGGUUCACCUUCUGUCCAAAGCUGCAGUCCCAGGAGCCCGGACUGGCUGGAAGCCUGGAGGUAAGGAACGCCUGCACGAUGUGUAAAUGCUGAGCAGAGAGCUCUUCCCCAGACGGCAUCCAUUCCCAUGUGGGAAUCCUCUUCCCAUGACAUCAGCAAAACCGUUUCCAUUAUUCCUGAAAUUGGAGGAGGAUGAACCUUCCACAUGCUGAGCUUCUUUCCUUUACCAAGAGAGAAGAAAGGAAUGAGCCCUUAUUGGAAGGCUACUGUAUGCUGUGCUUGGCCCCAGCCUUGCCUCAGUCCUUUCAUUGAAAUCUUGCAACAUCUCUGUCAAAUAAAGGAUGGUCACUUUCCCAGUGUCACUAAGUAGAGCUGCCACCUGAAUUUCUGUCUGGCUGAUUGCACAUGUGCUCAAAGCUGCUAAUGUCCUUUCUCCUUCCCCAACUUCCUUUAAAUAAA
ensembl:lncRNA